UACAGAGGGUGCGAGCGUUGUCCGGAAUCACUGGGCGUAAAGGGCGCGUAGGCGGCCUGAUAAGUAGGGGGUGAAAUCCUGUGGCUUAACUGCAGGGCUGCCUCCUAAACUGUUAGGCUCGAGCACGGUAGAGGCAGAUGGAAUUCCCGGUGUAGCGGUGGAAUGCGUAGAGAUCGGGAAGAACAUCGGUGGCGAAGGCGGUCUGCUGGGCCGUUGCUGACGCUGAGGCGCGACAGCGUGGGGAGCAAACAGG
rnacentral:rRNA from 1 species